rnacentral:miRNA from 1 species
UCUACUUGCGCCGUGGAUAUUG